GACGAACGCUGGCGGCGCGCCUAACACAUGCAAGUCGAACGGGGCUGCGAGAAGCUUGCUUUUCUUAGCUUAGUGGCGAACGGGUGAGUAACGCGUGAGUAACCUGCCCUGGAGUGGGGGACAACAGUUGGAAACGACUGCUAAUACCGCAUAAGCCCACGAUCCGGCAUCGGAUUGAGGGAAAAGGAUUUAUUCGCUUCAGGAUGGACUCGCGUCCAAUUAGCUAGUUGGUGAGGUAACGGCCCACCAAGGCGACGAUUGGUAGCCGGACUGAGAGGUUGAACGGCCACAUUGGGACUGAGACACGGCCCAGACUCCUACGGGAGGCAGCAGUGGGGGAUAUUGCACAAUGGGGGAAACCCUGAUGCAGCGACGCCGCGUGGAGGAAGAAGGUUUUCGGAUUGUAAACUCCUGUCGUGAGGGACGAUAAUGACGGUACCUAACAAGAAAGCACCGGCUAACUACGUG
rnacentral:rRNA from 1 species